AUCCAAACAAAAACUAUCAAAAUAAACGGAAAUUAGGUACAUGUGCUCUCGUCGGCCUCUGCCACAGUGUUACUACCCGUGUCAGCUUGUCGUCUCCGGUGUGCACAUGUACGAUACGUGCGAGUGGCCAACGGGUUGGGGGGAGGAAAUCGUCCUUCAGAAUGACCAGUCUGCCAGGUAAGAUGCUAUCGUUCCUCUUCGCCAUGGUGUUAUCGCGUUGCAUCUCUUGCAGGUAUUCCGUCGUCCAGUGUUUCCAGAAGCGCUGCACCAUUACUUGCAUAUUUUGCAAGUCGCUAGAACGAUGGGUGUAGUCCGAAGAGGACAGGGUGCAGGAACGAAGAUGGGUGUAGUCCGGCUCGGGGACAGCAUGCAUCGAUGUGCCCACGAGGAAAUGCGCUGGGGUAAGUGCCGAUGGAUCGUUAGGGUCGUCUGACAUAGGUAGGAGAGGACGCGAGUUCAUCGCCGCCUCAAUCUGAUGUAGGACAGUUGUGUAGCCUUCGUAGGAUAGUCGCGUGCUGCCUAACUGCCGAAAAAGGUGUCGCUUGGCGGUCUUCACAGCUGCUUCCCACAAUCCGCCGAAAUGUGGUGCCUUGGGAGGGGUGAAGUGCCAAUUGAUGGCGCGGUUAGUGCAAUCUGUCACAAUUAGAUGUAGCUGCUGUUCAUCGCGAAACAUUUCGAACAGCUCGUGAAGCUCCCUCGCCGCGCCUUCGAAGUUUUUCCCGUUGUCCGAAUGUAUAUGUGCCGGUAAAUAUGUGCCGCGUCAUGCUGUGAAUCUGUGUAAUGCAGCUAAAAAACCAGCAGUAGUUAGAUCACUUACCAGCUCCAAGUGUACGACCUUAGUGGAAAAACAAACAAACACGCAGAGGUUGCAUUUUCCCGGGGCAGCUCGUUCAUCGGAUGGCUUCAGGUAUAAUGAACCGGCGUAAUCCACUCCGGUAACAUUAAAAGGCCGGCUGGGAGUGAUGGGCUGCGCUGGAAGCUGUCCAAGUUGUUGCUGUUCAAGUGUCGGUCGCUGUCGAAUGCACCGAAAACAAUUCUGCACAAUGUGCUUAAGAAGAUGCCUUCCAUCUAACGGCCAAAACACUUCGCGAAUUCGAGAUAAGAGCAGCCUUCCUCCUCCAUGACGAAGCUCCUCGUGUUGAUACUUUGCGAUCAAUUGCGCGAACGGAUGUUUCUUGGGAAUCAAAACAGGAUGCUUCGCUUGGUAGGGAAGUUGAGAUAGCCGUAAAUGUCCCCCUACACGGAUAAUCCCUUGUUCGUCAAGGAAUGGACUUAGUGCACGUAAAGGUGAUUGCCUCAUGACUUCGUUUCCCUUUUUGAGCUGCCCGAGUUCAGCUGAAAAUGCAUCCUGCUGUGCUAGGCGGCUUAACACAGUGUUUGCUGUUUGCAUGUGCUCGGGUGUGACGAUUAAAGGUGCUGGGUGCAGUGCUGCUGUUCGAUGAGUGCGUGCCCUUUCUUUAGCAUUACGUGUGAAGCGAAUGCAGUAUGAUACGAUACGCAGCAAUCGCUUGUAGCUAGAACACAACGCAAACCAAGGGUGAUUAGUGGUUGUGUUUACAACGGCAGCACUCACCUGGCUAAUCUCUAGAUUCGUUUCGUUGGCUGGUUCCGGGUUAGAGUUGGGCCAGAUGGAAGCGGGCAAAGAUAACCAAUCCGGACCGAAGCUCCACAGUUUGCUUUUCAGGAAUUCAGCGGCUGACAUGCCUCGCGAAACCAGAUCAGCAGGAUUAGACGCGCCGGGUACAUGUCUCCACUGCCGCGAGUGUGAGUAAUGCUGCACUUCAGAUACCCCGUUAGCUACAAACGUUACCCAUGUGUUGGGUGUGGCGCUGAUCCAGGUUAAGGUGAUGGUGGAAUCCGACCAAAAGAAAGAUUCUGCAACGUUGAUCCCCAUCGCCUUCUUUACUCGGUGAUGCAGGUGUGCUCACAAUACAGCAGCGCAUAGUUCAAGGCGGGGUAGUGUGACGCCCUUGACCGGUGCCACACGCGAUUUGGAAGAAAGCAACGUUAUGCGAAUCUGCCCACCUUCGCCUUCACAACGCGCAUAAAUGCAGGCUCCAUAUGCUGCCUCCGAUGCAUCAAAGAAGAUAAUAUCUGGAACAUAGUCGUCCCAAUCAGCUUUCUGCAACCAUAAUUCCUGCAUCAUCAUCUUGGCCCGAAUGACAAUCGGGAGAUCAGGCCCAGCGGAUCGAACAUGCGAGCUACGUUAGGUAGAAUGGAUCGCUUUGUUGGAAUGGACACAUCACUGAAUAUUGCGGAUUCGAAGGAUAAAACGUCAUGCUCUGGCUCCCAUGAAACACCAAGAGCCUUUACCGUCUCGUGUGGUAAGAAUUGCCGCGCUGACUGUGUGCCGAUUUGAUCCGCAUUUAAACCGGCGAGCACCUCGAGCUGAUUGGAUGUCCACUUUCUCAGCUCGAAGCCGCCUUUGGCGAGCAAUUGAGAAAGCUCGAUUCGCAACUGGCGAGCAUUUCCGAUGGAAUCAGCACCACCGAUGAAAUCGUCAACGUAGAAGUUAGUUUUCAAAGCAGCUGCAGCAUUGGGACAAAGGGCGCCCUCAUCGUUUGCAAGCUGCAGCAAUGUUCUGGUUGCCAAGAAUGAUGAGAGGGCUAAGCCAUAGGAAACUGUAUUCAGCUCAAAAUAUUCGAUUGGCGAGUGAGGCGAAAAUCGAAAGCAAAUGCGUACAAAUUUCCGGUCGUUAGGAUGGAGCAAUACUUGUCGAUACAUUUUCGCAAUAUCUCCAACAACGGCUACCUUAUAUGUGCGGAAGCGCAAAAUUAUUCCGAGCAGAUCGUCCUGCACGAAAAGGCCGACGCAUAACGCCUCGUUUAGCGAAAAGCCGGUGGACGUCUUAGCUGAAAUACCACGCGAACCUUUGUUGUGGAGCUAGCGGCUUUGAACACGGGAUGGUGAGGCAGAUAAUACGCGCAUUCGUCGUCGGAGGGAUUUUUUAUGCGUGACAUGUGCCCAAGCUCCAGAUACUCACGCAUGAAAUCAUGGUACGCCGCUUUUACGUUUUGAUCUCGUUCUUACCUCCUUUCUAGCAAACUAAACCGCCUUAGUGCUGCUGCUUUCGAAAGGCCAAGCUUAUCAUCGAAGUCUGCUUGUUUAGGGGGCGUCCAUAAAUUACGUAACGCUCAAAGGGGGGGAGGGGGUUCCCUGUAGCGUUACGGUUUGUUACAUAGGGGAGAAGGGGGGUUCACAUUCUGUUACGUAACGUAAUACAAUCCUAUCACUGGCCACUGACAAAUGAUCGCCCACCUGGGUAAGUUUUGCACUUUUAUUUCUUUAUAUCUUUUGAUAGGGAGUACGAACUUGACAUUUAUAAAAUACCAAAACAGAGGUUUGACAGAAAAUUGCCAUGAAAAAAUCCACCGUGUAAUACAGGUUUAAGAGCCGUGUGUCUCAGGUAAAGACUGUAGUUUUCAAUCUUACCGUCAACAAAAUUCAAACAGUUACAUGUCAUUCUACGCUAAACGCAUCGACCUGUAUAUUAUUGUUGGUAAACAACAGUCGUGCGGUGCUGUCAAUCAGGAUUUGUUGGAUAAUUCGGCUGCCUCGAUCAUCCGGAAAAAAUAGUGUGAUUCAAACGUUCGCAUUCCUUGACGACGGAUCGUCCCCGACGUUUGUCGAAGACGAUCUCGUUCACGAGCUUGGACUGGAAGGGCAACAUCGACCCUUGUGUCUUAAAUGGACGGGCGGUACUCGACGAGAAGAGCCAGACUCUAUGCAGGUGUCGCUGCAGGUAUCUGCCUUAGGCGGGAAAACGUUUCAGAUCAGUAAAGCACAUACAGUCGCGAGCCUUGCGCUUCCUGCGCAAUCCUUGUGCGUUACGGAUUUGCUAAGCAGAUACGAUCAUCUUCGAGGUCUGCCGCUUACUUCGUACGAUCACGUACGACCAAGGCUACUGAUCGGUAUGGACAACUGCCAUCUGGGACGGGAGCAGAACGUUGCCGAAGGACGAAUAGGAGAACCAAUAGCAGCCAAAACUAGGCUCGGCUGGAUAGUGUACGGGCCUGGUGCGGUAGUGCCAAAGAUAGGCUGGCGAGAUCGAGGAAAAGGAGUUAGUCUAGAGCCAGUAGAGACUAGUACGGUUUCGUUUUCAAAGCCAUGUACCGAGGGUCCUGGCUGGCAGGAAAAAAAUUCAAAACGCUUUUUGACGGUCGCGCGAGGUUCUUCAGGUCAGUUUGUGAAGCUAGGGAAUACGUUGAUUGCUGAUGCGUUGAUUCCGAGGAGCCGCUGGCCAAGGGGUCGAGUGUUGAAAGUAGUGGUAGCGAAAGAUAGGCAAGUGCGUCGGGCCUCAGUCCAAACCGCGCGGGGGGUUUUAGAAAGACCUGCAACAAAGAUAGCGGUAUUAGAUGUCCAAGGGAAAAUGUUCUUACCGGAGAGCAAGGAGAGAGAGGGAAUUAAACAGCACCGACGAAGGUUAGUAAACCGCGUGGUUUACUCGGGGCAGAAUGUUGGUAAACAACAGUCGUGCGGUGCUGUCAAUCAGGAUUAGUUGGAUAAUUCGGCUGCCUCGAUCAUCCGGACCACCCGGAUGAUCGAGAAAGGGAAUUCGUAAAGUUACGAGACAGGGAACGAUUAAGCGGUAGUAGCGAAGAAACAGGCAAAUAAA